rnacentral:rRNA from 1 species
CCGAGUCUUAACUGGGCGUUAAGUUGCAGGGUAUAGACCCGAAACCCGGUGAUCUAGCCAUGGGCAGGUUGAAGGUUGGGUAACACUAACUGGAGGACCGAACCGACUAAUGUUGAAAAAUUAGCGGAUGACUUGUGGCUGGGGGUGAAAGGCCAAUCAAACCGGGAGAUAGCUGGUUCUCCCCGAAAGCUAUUUAGGUAGCGCCUCGUGAAUUCAUCUCCGGGGGUAGAGCACUGUUUCGGCAAGGGGGUCAUCCCGACUUACCAACCCGAUGCAAACUGCGAAUACCGGAGAAUGUUAUCACGGGAGACACACGGCGGGUGCUAACGUCCGUCGUGAAGAGGGAAACAACCCAGACCGCCAGCUAAGGUCCCAAAGUCAUGGUUAAGUGGGAAACGAUGUGGGAAGGCCCAGACAGCCAGGAUGUUGGCUUAGAAGCAGCCAUCAUUUAAAGAAAGCGUAAUAGCUCACUGGUCGAGUCGGCCUGCGCGGAAGAUGUAACGGGGCUAAACCAUGCACCGAAGCUGCGGCAGCGACACUAUGUGUUGUUGGGUAGGGGAGCGUUCUGUAAGCCUG